rnacentral:tRNA from 2 species
GGCCGGUUGGCCCAAUGGCAAGGCGUCUGACUACGAUUCUGGUUUCUCUUCUGGAGAUUCAAGGACGUGUAAUCAGGAGAUUCUGGGUUCGACCCCCAGGCUGGUCA